UGAUGGGAGGUGAUAACACACA
rnacentral:piRNA from 1 species